UUAAAUGCAAAAAAAAAGUAUAGCCGCGGGGCUAUACUAUUUUUUUUUAAUUCAAAAAAUAAAUAUAGCCUUGCGGCUGUACUAUUAUAUAUAUUAAAA
rnacentral:miRNA from 1 species